rnacentral:rRNA from 1 species
GGGCCCGCACAAGCAGUGGAGUAUGUGGUUUAAUUCGAAGAUACGCGAAGAACCUUACCAGGGUUUGACAUCCGACUAACGAGGCAGAGAUGCGUUAGGUGCCCUUCGGGGAAAGUCGAGACAGGUGGUGCAUGGUUGUCGUCAGCUCGUGUCGUGAGAUGUUGGGUUAAGUCCCGCAACGAGCGCAACCCUUGCGGUCAGUUGCUACGUUAAGAGCACUCUGGCCGGACUGCCGUUGACAAAACGGAGGAAGGCGGGGAUGACGUCAAUCAUCAUGCCCCUUAUAUCCUGGGCUACACACGUACUACAAUGGCGGCCACACAGAGGGCAGCGACACAGCGAUGUGAAGCGAAUCCCUAAAAGCCGCCUCAGUUCGGAUCGCAGGCUGCAACCCGCCUGCGUGAAGUCGGAAUUGCUAGUAAUCGCGGAUCAGCAUGCCG